GGGGGAUAACACUUAGAAAUAGGUGCUAAUACCGCAUAACCAUAGUUACCGCAUGGUAACUAUGUAAAAGGUGGCUAUGCUACCGCUUUUGGAUGGGCCCGCGGCGCAUUAGCUAGUUGGUGAGGUAAAGGCUUACCAAGGCAAUGAUGCGUAGCCGAACUGAGAGGUUGAUCGGCCACAUUGGGACUGAGACACGGCCCAAACUCCUACGGGAGGCAGCAGUAGGGAAUCUUCCACAAUGGGCGAAAGCCUGAUGGAGCAACGCCGCGUGGGUGAAGAAGGUCUUCGGAUCGUAAAACCCUGUUGUUAGAGAAGAAAGUGCGUGAGAGUAACUGUUCACGUUUCGACGGUAUCUAACCAGAAAGCCACGGCUAACUACGUGCCAGCAGCCGCGGUAAUACGUAGGUGGCAAGCGUUAUCCGGAUUUAUUGGGCGUAAAGGGAACGCAGGCGGUCUUUUAAGUCUGAUGUGAAAGCCUUCGGCUUAACCGGAGUAGUGCAUUGGAAACUGGGAGACUUGAGUGCAGAAGAGGAGAGUGGAACUCCAUGUGUAGCGGUGAAAUGCGUAGAUAUAUGGAAGAACACCAGUGGCGAAAGCGGCUCUCUGGUCUGUAACUGACGCUGAGGUUCGAAAGCGUGGGGAGCAAACAGGA
rnacentral:rRNA from 1 species